rnacentral:rRNA from 1 species
AAAGUUCAACGGCCGCGGUAUUCUGACCGUGCAAAGGUAGCAUAAUCACUUGUUCCUUAAUUAGGGACUAGAAUGAAUGGCUAGACGAGGAUUUAACUGUCUCUUAGUUCCUAUCUGUGAAACUGACCUUCCCGUGAAGAGGCGGGAAUAACAAAACAAGACGAGAAGACCCUAUGGAGCUUUAACUUAUUAAUUUAAUUCCAACUAUUAAAAAUCUAAUGAAAUAAAACCUGGAAACUAAAUUAAUGAUUUAGGUUGGGGCGACCUCGGAGCAUAAAUUAACCUCCGAAUGAUUUUAAUCUAGGCUGACAGGUCAAAAUAAGAUGCUUAUCGCAAUCGACCCAUUACUUUUGAUCGACGAACCAAGUUACCCUAGGGAUAACAGCGCAAUCCUAUUUAAGAGUUCCUAUCGAAAAUGGGGUUUACGACCUCGAUGUUGGAUCAGGAUGUCCCAA